ACAUUCUAGAACUUCUGUACCAUGUUCGAUUCCCACAUCCUCAACGAUGACCGACGUUUUGUUUGAUCAGCCGUUUUACUGCCCUGUCACAGACACCGUUUGGAAACAAUGAAGAACUUCUGUACCAUGGUCGAUUCCCACAUCCUCAACGAUGACCGACGUUUUGUUUGAUCAGCCGUUUUACUGCCCUGUCACAGACACCAAUUGGAAACAAUGAAGAUUCCAAAACUUUUGCACCAUGUUCGAUUCCCACUCUUCGUCGAUGACCGAUGUUUUGUUUGAUCAGCCGUUUUACUGCCCUGUCACAGACACCAUUUGUAAACAAUGAAGUGGGUGGGGCUUAUAUACCGGUGUGUUGAAUAGUCCGGAAAAUACGGUAAGUGGUAGGUGCGACUUAUACAUGGA